rnacentral:lncRNA from 1 species
GAAGCUGAUGAGAAGAAAAUUCGGAUUGUUUGUCGGAGGGAGGGGACGGAUGAUCACCAUAUAAAUUGGAAGUGAAGGGCUGGGAAAAUUAUACUGAAUUAUAUAUGCAAAAGCCAAGUCUACCAGGCCUUUCUGAUGCAUUGAGCUGAGCUUUGGACUUUCUGCUUUUAGCCUCACCACCAAACUGUUGCUUCUUUAGAACAUUACCUAUUUUUUGUCAAAAUUUUCACCUUUUCUUGUUCUUUAAGAAAAAAAUCAAAUAUUGUUCUAAAUAUUAGCUUUGUGAACCAGCCGACAGAAUGG